ACGGGUGAGUAACGCGUGGGUAACCUGCCCUGUACAGGGGGAUAACAGUCAGAAAUGACUGCUAAUACCGCAUAAGACCACAGCACCGCAUGGUGCAGGGGUAAAAACUCCGGUGGUACAGGAUGGACCCGCGUCUGAUUAGCUGGUUGGUGAGGUAACGGCUCACCAAGGCGACGAUCAGUAGCCGGCUUGAGAGAGUGAACGGCCACAUUGGGACUGAGAUACGGCCCAGACUCCUACGGGAGGCAGCAUG
rnacentral:rRNA from 1 species